rnacentral:rRNA from 1 species
GACGAAGGAUGCAAGCGUUAUCCGGAUUCAUUGGGUUUAAAGGGAGCGUAGGUGGCCUUAUAAGUCAGUGGUGAAAUCCUGCAGCUUAACUGUAGAAUUGCCAUUGAUACUGUAGGGCUUGAGUACAGAUGCCGUUGGCGGAAUAUGACAUGUAGUGGUGAAAUACAUAGAGAUGUCAUAGAACACCGAUUGCGAAGGCAGCUGACGAAACUGUAACUGACACUGAGGCUCGAAAGUGUGGGGAUCAAACAGGAUUAGAAACCCCCGUAGUCC